GGCCGUGUAGCGCAAUGGUAGCGCGUUACUUUCCGGUUUCAAUUCACUUGUUAUGAGUGGUUAAAUCUCCUGCUGGUAAAGGUUCUGGGUUCGAGUCCCAGCAUGGUCG